rnacentral:rRNA from 1 species
GGUUCAGAACGUCGUGAGACAGUUCGGUCCCUAUCCGUCGUGGGCGUAGGAAAUUUGAGAGGAGCUGUCCUUAGUACGAGAGGACCGGGAUGGACAUACCUCUGGUGUACCAGUUGUCGUGCCAACGGCAUAGCUGGGUAGCUAUGUGUGGACGGGAUAAGUGCUGAAAGCAUCUAAGCAUGAAGCCCCCCUCAAGAUGAGAUUUCCCAACUUCGGUUAUAAGAUCCCUCAAAGAUGAUGAGGUUAAUAGGUUCGAGGUGGAAGCAUGGUGACAUGUGGAGCUGACGAAUACUAAUCGAUCGAAGACUUAAUCAA